rnacentral:rRNA from 1 species
AUUGAACGCUGGCGGCAGGCUUAACACAUGCAAGUCGAGCGGGGGAGGUUGCUUCGGUAACUGACCUAGCGACGGACGGGUGAGUAAUACUUAGGAAUCUGCCUAUUAGUGGGGGACAACAUCUCGAAAGGGAUGCUAAUACCGCAUACGUCCUACGGGAGAAAGCAGGGGAUCACUUGUGACCUUGCGCUAAUAGAUGAGCCUAAGUCGGAUUAGCUAGUUGGUGGGGUAAAGGCCUACUAAGGCGACGAUCUGUAGCGGGUCUGAGAGGAUGAUCCGCCACACUGGGACUGAGACACGGCCCAGACUCCUACGGGAGGCAGCAGUGGGGAAUAUUGGACAAUGGGGGGAACCCUGAUCCAGCCAUGCCGCGUGUGUGAAGAAGGCCUUAUGGUUGUAAAGCACUUUAAGCGAGGAGGAGGCUCUUUUGGUUAAUACCCAAGAUGAGUGGACGUUACUCGCAGAAUAAGCACCGGCUAACUCUGUGCCAGCCGCCGCAGUAA